ACCACGCCGUCUACUCUUGGACAGCCUUCUGAAAGGAAGAUUAAUACAAGAUGGCAUCAUGAGUCCGCAUGUUCACAUGAUUAAAGGUAUUCCGGUAGACGAUGGGGAUGCGUUCCAUUAGAUAGUAGGCGGGGUAACGGCCCACCUAGUCUUCGAUGGAUAGGGGUUCUGAGAGGAAGGUCCCCCACAUUGGAACUGAGACACGGUCCAA
rnacentral:rRNA from 1 species